UUUCUGUGUGACCAAAUCAGUGUUAUUUUUAUAUUUUUUUCAUGGUAUCAGAGCCUUCCCAAGCUCACGCUUAUUGUGCUUCUAUGGCUACUACUGGUUCUACAUCUUCUUUCGCUGCUUUUCAUCUACCUGAGCAGGUUAUUUCCAUCAAGCUUGAUGGGACAAAUUACCUUGCCUAGAGUGCCCAACUUCUGCCAAUUUUUCGAAGCUAUGGCUUGAUGGGAAUUGUUGAUGGUUCUAAUUCCUGUCCUCCUCAAUUUACCAGUGAUGAUCAAAAAGCUCUGGGUGUUCUUAAUCCUGCCUAUGUGGUUUGGCAAUAUAAGGACCAAACAGUGCUUGGCUGGAUAAUUUCAUCUUUAUCUCCUUCGGUGGUCUCCACUAUUUAUGGUCUUAAGACCUCUCAGCUUGCUUAGCAAGCCCUUAGCUCACGUUUUGCUACUCCAUCCACAUCUCGAAUUUCUCUCAUCAAAACAAAGCUUCAGUCCAUUCAGCAUGGAUCCUUUUCAUGUCAAGAGUUUUUUUACUGAAGUGAAGAACCUUUCCGAUGAAUUGUUCGCAGUUGGCAAACAUGUGGAAGAUUCAGACUUGGUUCUUUCUGUCCUCAACAGGCUCAACUCCUCCUUUCAUUCCUUUAUGACCACCUAUAUGCUUAUCUCCAGAAAGAAGAUGUCUUUCUCAGAUUUUCAAGCUGAGUUGCUCAAUUUUGAUCUCAUGCAAAAAUUUCACAAUCAAUCCAUUCAACCUGAGACUGGUUCCUAUGCGUUGUACUCUAACAAGUCUCAGUCUAAGCCUCACCCUAACAAGACUUGAACCUCAGCUCCUUCGAAAAUCCAAGUGCAAUGAUCCUUAUCUAAAUUUCGACACCCACUGCCUCACUUGCCCUCUUCCUCAGUAUAGUCCCCAAAGCAAUCUAUGAACAAUCGCCUAAAAUCUCCAUGUCAAAUCUGUAAAAAGGGGGAUCAUCAAGCACUUGACUGCUUCAACCACAUAAACUAUGCCUUUCAGGGACGUCAUCCUUCUACUGAAUUGGCUUCCAUGGUUGCUGAGGCUAAUACCACUUAUUUAUCUCAACAUUAAGGUAUGCUGAUAGUGGUGCCAACAAAUAUGUCACCUCUGACAUUGCUAAUCUUGCUACCUCGCAGCCCUAUGAAGGCCAUGACUCCGUGGGUGUAGGACAUCUCGACAAGGGUCACGCUUUUGACAGGGCCGAGUGAAAAUGGAUUGUACUCGAUCAACCUGCGUCAACUCUCAUCUUCCAAGCUACAUGCUCUGACCAUGAUUGUCAAUGUUAAGGCUUCAAGCUCCACUUGACAUUGUGGCCUAGGGCAUCCCUUCUUUCCAACUCUUAGCCGUGUCAUUUCUAGUUUUUCUCUUCCUGUUAGUGACUCCCUUAGUAAAGAGUCAAUUUGUGUGUCUUGUCAGUUAGGAAAGUCUAAGCAGUUGCCUUUCUCCAAUUAUUUAUGAGAAAGUUUUGCUCCUAUAGAGUCGAUUCAUUUUGAUGUAUGGACCACAUCCACUCAAUCUUUAAGUGGCUGUCGAUAUUGUGUUAUUUUUAUUGAUUUUGGAAUGCUCUAUAAAGCUGGACCAAUUGUUCUCAAUGCU